rnacentral:rRNA from 1 species
CUGCCAGUAGUCAUAUGCUUGUCUCAAAGAUUAAGCCAUGCAUGUCUCAGUACUUGCUUUUACAAGGCGAAACCGCGAAUGGCUCAUUAAAACAGUUAUGGUUUACAAGAUCGUACAGAUUACAUGGAUAUCUGUGGUAAUUCUAGAGCUAAUACAUGCACACAAUCCGUUCCCUCGUGGAGCGGAAGCAGUUAUUUGCCUAAAAACCAAUCCGGCCCUCGGGUCGGUCAAUUGGUGACUCUGAAUAACCGAAGCAGAGCGCAUGGUCUCGUACCGGCGCCAGAUCUUUCAAGUGUCUGACUUAUCAGCUUGAUGUUAGGUUAUGUUCCUAACAGGGCUCUAACGGGUACGGGUGUUUGGGGACCGACACCGGAGAGGGAGCCUGAGAAACGGCUACCACAUCCAAGGAAGGCAGCAGGCGCGCAAAUUACCCACUCCCGGCACGGGGAGGUAGUGACGAAAAAUAACGAUGCGAGAGCUUAAUGCUCCUCGUAAUCGGAAUGGGUACACUUUAAAUCCUAUAACGAGGAUCUAUUG